rnacentral:rRNA from 1 species
GACGAACGCUGGCGGCGUGCCUAAUACAUGCAAGUUGAGCGCUGAAGGUUGGUACUUGUACCAACUGGAUGAGCAGCGAACGGGUGAGUAACGCGUGGGGAAUCUGCCUUUGAGCGGGGGACAACAUUUGGAAACGAAUGCUAAUACCGCAUAAAAACUUUAAACACAAGUUUUAAGUUUGAAAGAUGCAAUUGCAUCACUCAAAGAUGAUCCCGCGUUGUAUUAGCUAGUUGGUGAGGUAAAGGCUCACCAAGGCGAUGAUACAUAGCCGACCUGAGAGGGUGAUCGGCCACAUUGGGACUGAGACACGGCCCAAACUCCUACGGGAGGCAGCAGUAGGGAAUCUUCGGCAAUGGACGAAGGUCUGACCGAGCAACGCCGCGUGAGUGAAGAAGGUUUUCGGAUCGUAAAACUCUGUUGGUAGAGAAGAGCGUUGGUGAGAGUGGAAAGCUCAUCAAGUGACGGUAACUACCCAGAAAGGGACGGCUAACUACGUG